rnacentral:rRNA from 1 species
CCUACGGGUGGCAGCAGUGGGGAAUAUUGGACAAUGGGGGGAACCCUGAUCCAGCGACGCCGCGUGAGUGAAGAAGUAUUUCGGUAUGUAAAGCUCUAUCAUCAGGGAAGAAAGAAAUGACGGUACCUGACUAAGAAGCCCCGGCUAACUACGUGCCAGCAGCCGCGGUAAUACGUAGGGGGCAAGCGUUAUCCGGAUUUACUGGGUGUAAAGGGAGCGUAGACGGCAGUGCAAGUCUGGAGUGAAAGGCGGGGGCUCAACCCCCGGACUGCUAUGGAAACUGUACGGCUGGAGUGCAGGAGAGGUAAGUGGAAUUCCUAGUGUAGCGGUGAAAUGCGUAGAUAUUAGGAGGAACACCAGUGGCGAAGGCGGCUUACUGGACUGUAACUGACGUUGAGGCUCGAAAGCGUGGGGAGCAAACAGGAUUAGAUACCCUUGUAGUC